rnacentral:lncRNA from 1 species
GGAGCCUAGGGAGGGAGAGCAGAGGCAAGGGGAUCAGUCGAGCCCCGCUGGUGGGAUGAGUCUGCCGGGACAAGGGGUGCUAGCUGUGGUCCUCGUCUGCCUUGUUCUCAGCUGUAUCCUGGCCCCCAGAUGAAGCCUGGCCACAGUGUACUUGGUAAAUAGUGGUUGCAGGAAUGACUGAAAUCCUGGCCUGAGUGAGCUCACAACUUUCCAUAUGAGGCAAAUAAGCAGAUCUGUUGGUUAUGACCCAGAUACGUGGUGACCAGGGCAAACGUUUGUCAGAGGAGUGACGGGUGGGGGCUGGACUGUCUUCCCGGUACAGCUGUGGAGGAAAGCAGGCAGUGCAGCUGGGACAUGCAGCCGCUGUCCCCUGGGGCUGGCGGAAGGGUGUGGAGUGACGGAGAGGGAGAGCUGCUGAUCAGGGAGCUGGGCAUCCCGUUGCAGCCUUACUGGGAAGCUUGCAUCCCAGAGCCGACUUGCCUCACCUUUAUUCAGGGAUUCAGGCCCUUCCCCUCCCCCAAGGGCUUGCUUAAUUCCCCUGGCUUCCUUGAGGCAUACUCAGAAAUUCCUUUCAGUUCCCCUUUCUGCUGGCUGUGCUUGAGGCAGGGAUGGGCCAAAUACCCUCCACGCCCUUGGUCCAUCCAGAAGUACUGAGUCAACAGCCCUUUCCCAGAAUCUACCUCCAUCUCUUUCCACACCUGCAGCCGGACUGUUCCCAGGAAUGAGGUGGGGCAGGACCUGAGAGCAAAGUGUGAGCUGGUGUGCAGAACCACCCGGAGGUGGAAGGAAGCUAGAAUCUAGUGUAGGGUGCCUCUGACACUUGUCCCACACAUAGAUCUCCCAGGGAUGACUGUGUGGGUCCGAGGUGGGAUGGAAAACUUGCAUUUCUUACAGGCUGCUGGGGAUGCUGGUGCUGAGGCUUCCGAUCACCCUGGAGGCACGGCUCUGUAUGAAGGCAGGGUGAGGUUGGCAGAGGAGAGAUAAAUACAGUCACAAUUUACUGAGUGCCAGACACCGGGCUAAGGGCAUUAUGUGAAUAAUCUCUUUUAAUCCUCACCAGCCCUGUGAGUUGGCACCAUUAUUAUGCCUAUUUAACAGAUGAGAUUUAGAAAGACUGGUGAACUUGCUCAAGGUCACAGAGCUUGCAAGUGAGACUUGAACUCAAUUGUCUGACUCCAGCAGUUGAACUAUUAAGAGAAAUUCCGAGAGGAUAAAUCUUGAUCGUCUGACUAUGAUGUGUUGUAAGCAACAACUAGAGAAAAGAUCAAGAAAUGAAAAAAGAUGCCCAUACAGCCAACAAAGGGAAGGGUGUAUAUUGUAUAUGCAGCUAUGACUGGACCCAGUAGAAUUUCAGGAUGCCUCAACUUCUGAACCAAUCAAGAUUAAAAAUAGCUGUGACAAAAGAAAAAAGAUAGCAUGACACAUUAUCCUCUUUGCUUCGAAUCUAUCUAAAAAUCUAUAUUUCAGGAUAAAAUUCCCUUCAGAUUUAAAAAUUUCUCUUUUAUUUUUGUUGUUCUACCCCACCACAUCCCAGGGCGUUUCGUUCAAAAUAUGUAGUAAGUUAUUUCUCUAAAUUGUCUUUGUUUUUUAUGUAUAAAGUAUAAUAGAUAAGCACCUAGUAUAAAUUAUUUCAGAUUACUAUACUACUGUACAAGGUAAACAGGAGAUAUGCUGAAAUGCAGUUGUGGAGUUACGGCCUGACUUGGUAUGAAUAGCCUUUAGGUGUUGGACAGGGAAAAAAAUGUUGGACAGAAUUCUCCUUGCUGGACAUCGUGCACAUUGAAAAUUAAAAUACGUCGUGGAAUUUAAGUAUUUAUAAUCAGCACAACUCAAGUAAAAGCAACAAUCUGGUUUAAAUCCUUCACAAAAGGAAACUCAACGUUGGAGCAUCUGAAGGGCGUACUAGCCCAACUGUUUUCUUUCCUAGGGAGAAAGUCCCUUGAAUGUUACACAGGCUUAAAGCAUGACCUUGCAUUUUCAUCCCUUGGCUUCCUCAUUUUUGUAGAUUUCAAAUCAGACCCGAAAGACCGUCUCACGUGGUUAAAUAAUGUAGUGUCUGGGUUAAUGACUCCAAAAUGCAAAAUGAGACCGGAGAGAGAACAGACUGUUUCUCCUAUAGGCUGCCCUAACUCUCAGCCUCUGGGUCCUCCAGGCGCCCCAUAAACAUAAUCUUGUGCGCUUCUGCUCAUCACACCUUGUAUGAGUACUCCACGGGUUUAUUAUACACGCAGGCUCUUGGUGGGGAGACAACAGUGAAACUGAUAGAUUGUAAUUCACGUUCCAGUGAAUCCUAUGCAGGAGGGGAGGAGUCUGACCACAAUAAUGAGGCGUUCUUUGUCUUAGUUUUGCUUUUUUAACAAGUUUCCUAAACCUUGGUGAGCUCCAUGCUCAAAGGAGUUCAGGGGCAUUCUAUUCAGGAAAUUCUGUUUUUCCUUAUAAAAUUGGAAUUAAAAUGCUCUCAUCUGCACUUGCUCCCCCAGGCCUUGGAGACUUGGUCCUGGGGACUCCCAUGUGUGCAGACCUUGCAUUGUCACCCGUGGUGCUUUUUCUCAGCUCCUCCUCUGAGUGGCAGAAGGAACGCUAAAACUCAGAUUUCCUGCUUCCACUGCAGGCCUUUCUUCAGAUGCUGAAUGCCUUUCUACGUUCACUCCGGAAUUAUUAAUAUCGGACUGACACCCCCCUGCUUCCAUCCUCAAUUCCUGUACAUAUAUGCCUGAUGUCAUCUAAUGUUUUCCCUUUGGGGGAAAACAAAUUCCAGCUUUCCAACAGAAAGCCCUAGAUUUAUCAACUCUUCAAGGCUCUCUGUAUACAGCAUUUUGAAUCUAGACAAAAUACAUAAAGAGUUGAU